CUGGCUGCCAUUCUGCUUUUAAAGUGUGAGAAAAAAAGGGGAAUAAAAAAUAAAGGAGUUGGGGCAAUUUUUCCAGGGCAGGGCAGAAGGAUGCUGGGCAUCCCCGUGCUGUCCAGCAGGAGCGGUGCCAGUGGGAUGGGGAGUGGGGAGAAGGUAGGAGACUCAUUUCCCAGAGCAACAAAAAUUCCUCCUCUAAAUGCACAGUGAGGCUUUUCCCGUGGGAUUUUCACUUGAAAUCGGGGUUUGCACCACGAGCACUGCUGAGGGUGAGGAGUCCCCCCCCUGCCAAAAUUCGAGGCUCAGGAUUGUGCCGGUGCAUCUCCUACAUCCGCCCUGCACUGCUGGCAGCAUCCCAUGGAUCCCCCUCACUCCAUGCCCCCCUUGCCACCCGAUCGGAGAUGCUCACCCCAAUUUAACCCUCCCUGAUUUCCAUCCAUCCCCUGGCACGUUUGCAGAGCCCUUGCAAAACCAGUGGUCCAGGGCAGAGCUGGGGGCUUGUGGCCCCCCGUUUGCUGCCAGCCCUUGCCGAGUCCUGGAGCAACUUUCACCAAAUAUGGAAGGUUUUUUUGCCUCCGGUUUUCGGCACGCAGGCCACGGCCCAAGAGCGCAGCUUUCCAGAUGCUGAGGUCAGCCCAGCUCCUCUUCCCUCCCCCUGCUCCUUCCCUGCUGCCUCCCAGUGGGCUUGGCCCUGCACCCACCGGGACAGGAGUAAAUUCCACCCCCUCAACUCACUGGAAUCCCUGGAUCCCCCACCAGCAUCCUCUGCUGCUGGCACAAGCCUCACCCCGCAUCCCACUGCACCCCAAAAGCAACAGUUAUUAGGAUUUUGGGGGACAGGGAAGCCAGGGAGAAGGGUGCCCGAUGCUCGCACCCCUGGGCAUCACUACUGGAUGCCAGCCUGGCACAAGUGGCAGGUGGAGGUGCCCCAGCUGCCUGGUGGAAUGGGGCCAGAGGCCUUGGGAUAGCCAGGAGGGAGCCAGCCUGGCAUGCAGGGAGUGAUGGGCACCGGGAGGUUUUCGGUACCCAGGAGCUGAUGGGGAUCCAGGUCUCCACAUGGAGCCAGAAUUCCAAGCGCACCUGAAGCCAAGAGGUAUCCGGGAGUCAAAGGGCACCCCAGAGAUGAUGGAUGCUCAGAAGCUGAUGGUUGCUCAGGAGCUACCCUGGGGUCUGUGGGCACCCAGAAGCCAGCGGGGACUCCCUGGGUACCCAGGAGCUGAUGGACGCCCAGGAUCCAAAAGAGACUCUGGGCACCCAUGAAUGCACAAGCACAAAGGAGCUGAAGGACACCCAGGAGCCAACAGACACUCACAAACCUGUGGGCAUCCAAAGUCCAUGGGCACCCAGGAACUGAUGGAUGGCCAGCAUCCAACAGGUACCCAGGAGUCCAUGGGUGCCCAGAGGGGAUGGCGAUGCAGGAGCUGCUGGAUUUCUAGGAUCCAACAGAUGUCAGGAGUCUGUGGAGCACCCAGGAGCUGAUGGAUACCCAGGAGCUGAUGGAGGAGCGCAUGGCAUGAGAGAAGAGGAAACUGUACUGGCCAAACCCCAGGGCUACCUUGCUGCACCUUCCCUUCGUGUGAGGGCACCUCCUUCUCCAUCCUGGAUUUAGGAGAAGUCCCUGCUGCAGCUCUGAAGCUGUGGGAUGCCCCACGGGACCUGCUGUGACCAGGAUCUGCCAGAGCAGGACGUGCUGCUGAGGAAUUAAGGAAUGACCCCUGAGGAAUUAAAAGCCUCGUGCCCAUCAUCAGGCAUGGUGUGAAGGAGUUCUGCACCCAGGAUGGCUUGGUUGGCUCCAGCCCCAUGGAGAAUUGCUGGAAAGCACCCAGGACAAACAGUGCUGCCCCCGAGGGAGAACAGCAUGUUACCUCUCUCGGUGGGAUGUGCCAGAUGCAGCUCUGCCAAAGCCACCACCAAACCAUGGGAACUGGGAAAAUACCCUGGGGGAAUGAUGCUGCAGGGACACUCAACCCCAAGAGAAUAUCCCAGUACAGUCAGCUGGAGAUGGACACCAGGAUGGACAGACCAUCACAUGAUACGGUAUGGAUGCUCCCACCCCCCAAAAUUCCCAAGUGGAGGUGACCAUUUCCCCACACAGACUCACAACCUUGCAAUGCCGGCCCUUUCCAUUGAGUUAGGGAGGGGAAAAAACAUCAAAAAGUAAAAAAUAAAGCUUAUUUCUUCUCUGCUGCUCAGGGAGCACAUAAAUCCCUGUUCCCAGCCAGCCAUCCCAGUGCCAAGUUACAUCCAGUCCUCAGUGCUCUCACUUCGAAUUAAAGCAACUCCCUUGCAGGGCUCGGUCCCCCUCCGCCCCCCCAGGCAAAGCUGGUGCCAUCUGAAAUAAAACAUCCCAGCUCUUUACUAUCUAGUAAAUCAAAAGGAGAAAUAAAAAUCCUGGUUUCAGUUAGGAUAUGGCUGGAGCACAAAGAAAUCCCAAGGCAGGAGAGAGAUUUGAAGAUACAGCUUUGGUGUUGCCCUUAAAAGGGAAAAUUCGCACCCUCUUCCCCAGGGCCGGAGGGUUCAGGCAAGGUGAGGAGCAGCAUCCUCAGGGUCUGCUUCCACAGGGGGGGCCCAUCCACCUCGGGAGACGCUCGGCCAAACAGUUGGUAAAAACCCACCCAAAAUCAUCCCAAAGUUGGGAUCAGACCAGGGCUGGGGGUGUAUCGGGGUGUGGGGUCAGCAGAGCAUCCCUGAUACUGGGGCCAUCAGGUACCGGCCCCAGGACACCACAGGGAGCUGCCUGAGUAAGAAAUGUCUCUCCAUAAAUUAUUAAAAUAAACCAUAUAUUAUAUAAA